rnacentral:rRNA from 1 species
CGGACGGGUGAGUAACGCGUGGGUAACCUACCCUGUACAGGGGGAUAACAGUCAGAAAUGACUGCUAAUACCGCAUAAGACCACAGCACCGCAUGGUGCAGGGGUAAAAACUCCGGUGGUACAGGAUGGACCCGCGUCUGAUUAGCUGGUUGGUGAGGUAACGGCUCACCAAGGCGACGAUCAGUAGCCGGCUUGAGAGAGUGAACGGCCACAUUGGGACUGAGACACGGCCCAAACUCCUACGGGAGGCAGCAUG